UACGAAGGUCCCGAGCGUUGUUCGGAAUCACUGGGCGUAAAGGGAGCGUAGGCGGCGUGGUAAGUCAGAUGUGAAAUCCCGGGGCUCAACCCCGGAACUGCAUCCGAUACUGCCGUGCUAGAGGAUUGGAGAGGUAGCUGGAAUUCUUGGUGUAGCAGUGAAAUGCGUGGAGAUCAAGAGGAACACUCGUGGCGAAAGCGAGCUACUGGACAAUAUCUGACGCUGAGGCUCGAAGGCCAGGGUAGCGAAAGGG
rnacentral:ncRNA from 3 species